AUGCAGGCCCCCGCUCAGCUCCUCGGCCUCCUGCUGCUCUGGCUCCCGGAGACAAGUCAACAGCAGCAAGACGGUGUUUCCAUCCCAGCUCUGGGGCUGCUGCUCCUCUGGGUUCCAGGCUCCAGUGGGGCGACCAUGCUGACCCAGUCCCCAGCCCUCCUGUCUAAGGCUCCAGGGGACAAAGCCACCAUCACCUGCCGGGCCAGCCAGAGCAUCAGCACCAGCUUACACUGGUACCAGCAGAAACCAAAUCAGCCUCCCAAGCUCCUUAUACAGCACGCUUCCCAGACCAUCUCAGGGGUCCCCACCCGGUUCAGUGGCAGCGGAUCUGGGACAGAUUUCACCCUCACCAUCAGCAGCCUGGAAGCUGAAGACGCUGCAAAGUGUUACUGUCAGCAGAGCUACAGUUAUUCUCCCACAGUGCUACAACCUAGAGCCUGAGUGAACAGAAAACUAGGCAGGUCCGUGUAGCUCUGACCCCUGCAGCUGGGGCGACACCCUGCCCUGCACCCUAAGUGCGGCUCACCCCCCCGAGGCUGAUGCCCAACACGUCUGCUCCUGACUUGGUUUCACCUUCACCCACAGUAAUUUGUCCCGUUAGAUGAAAAAAUUUGAAGAUCGCUCUCUUUUCAUCUGUCUACAUGCCUACAUAAAUUAUUCUUUCC